rnacentral:rRNA from 1 species
GCUAACCCCUACCUUUAGUUGCCAUCAGGUUAAGCUGGGGACUCUAAAGGAACUGCCUACGCAAGUAGUGAGGAAGGCGGGGAUGACGUCAAAUCAGCACGGCCCUUACGUCCAGGGCUACACACGUGCUACAAUGGCCGAUACGGAGGGCAGCUACCUGGUGACAGGAUGCAAAUCUACCAAAGUCGGUCUCAGUUCGGAUUGGAGUCUGCAACCCGACUCCGUGAAGUUGGAUUCGCUAGUAAUCGCGCAUCAGCCAUGGCGCGGUGAAUACGUUCCCGGGCCUU